GAUUGAACGCUAGCGGCAUGCCUUACACAUGCAAGUCGAACGGCAUCGGGGGAGCUUGCUCCUGCCGGCGAGUGGCGAACGGGUGAGUAACACAUCGGAACGUACCCAGUAGCGGGGGAUAGCCCGGCGAAAGCCGGAUUAAUACCGCAUACGCCCUAAGGGGGAAAGGGGGGGAUCGCAAGACCUCUCACUAUUGGAGCGGCCGAUGGCUGAUUAGCUAGUUGGUGGGGUAAAGGCCUACCAAGGCAACGAUCAGUAGCUGGUCUGAGAGGACGACCAGCCACACUGGGACUGAGACACGGCCCAGACUCCUACGGGAGGCAGCAGUGGGGAAUUUUGGACAAUGGGCGAAAGCCUGAUCCAGCAAUGCCGCGUGUGCGAAGAAGGCCUUCGGGUUGUAAAGCACUUUUGUCAGGGAAGGAAUCGUUCGGGCCAAUACCCCGGGCAGUUGACGGUACCUGGAGAAU
rnacentral:rRNA from 1 species